UUUUGAGAAAAGGAAGAAGAGGCCUGACUGAUAGCCCUGGAGGAGCAGAGGAUGGAGGCGAAGAAGCCCAGAGUGAUGGCAGGCACUGUGAAGCUGGAGGACAGGCAGCGGCUGGCCCAAGAGGAGGAGAAU